rnacentral:rRNA from 1 species
CGAAACCAGGUGAUCUACCCUUGGUCAGGUUGAAGUUCAGGUAACACUGAAUGGAGGACCGAACCGACUUACGUUGAAAAGUGAGCGGAUGAACUGAGGGUAGCGGAGAAAUUCCAAUCGAACCUGGAGAUAGCUGGUUCUCUCCGAAAUAGCUUUAGGGCUAGCCUCAAGUGAUGAUUAUUGGAGGUAGAGCACUGUUUGGACGAGGGGCCCCUCUCGGGUUACCGAAUUCAGACAAACUCCGAAUGCCAAUUAAUUUAACUUGGGAGUCAGAACAUGGGUGAUAAGGUCCGUGUUCGAAAGGGAAACAGCCCAGACCACCAGCUAAGGUCCCAAAAUAUAUGUUAAGUGGAAAAGGAUGUGGCGUUGCCCAGACAACUAGGAUGUUGGCUUAGAAGCAGCCAUCAUUUAAAGAGUGCGUAAUAGCUCACUAGUCGAGUGACACUGCGCCGAAAAUGUACCGGGGCUAAACAUAUUACCGAAGCUGUGGAUUGUCCUUUGGACAAUGGUAGGAG